rnacentral:lncRNA from 1 species
UCUUGGUCUCCUCAGAGAGUCCAGGAUAUAGACCAUGCUUCGAUCAACCAUGAUAACAAGGAGUAUCCAGUGGAAGCUGAACAUAUAUGCAUAGUGAAAAGCUAUUUAGUCUUAUUUUUAACUGCUAGUUCAAAAAAUAAAAGAAAUGGGAAACAUGCUCACUUGAAGUUGUACGUCAAAAGUAUGUACAUCUUGUAAUGUUACUUGUCCAAGAAAUUUUAUAUAUUCUUCAGGGUUUGAUUUGGUUUAUCUCUUACAUUUGCCUCAUUUAUAACAUCCGGG